GAUGAACGCUAGCGGCAGGCUUAACACAUGCAAGUCGAGGGGUAGGUUACUUCGGUAAUUGAGACCGGCGCACGGGUGCGUAACGCGUAUACAAUCUACCUUUUACAGAGGGAUAGCCCAGAGAAAUUUGGAUUAAUACCUCAUAGUAUUUUUGAAUCGCAUGAUUUGAUUAUUAAAGUUCCAACGGUAAAAGAUGAGUAUGCGUCCCAUUAGCUAGAUGGUAAGGUAACGGCUUACCAUGGCUACGAUGGGUAGGGGUCCUGAGAGGGAGAUCCCCCCACACUGGUACUGAGACACGGACCAGACUCCUACGGGAGGCAGCAGUGAGGAAUAUUGGACAAUGGGCGCAAGCCUGAUCCAGCCAUGCCGCGUGCAGGAAGAAGGUCCUAUGGAUUGUAAACUGCUUUUUANACAAGAAGAAACACUCCCNGUGAGGGAACUUGACGGUACUGUAUGAAUAAGGACCGNUAACUCCGUGCCAGCA
rnacentral:rRNA from 1 species